UACGUAGGGGUGCGAGCGUUGCCCGGAUUUAUUGGGCGUAAAGGGCGCGUAGGCGGCUCUGCACGUCCGUUGUGAAAUCGCCCGGCUCAACUGGGCGGGGUCAGCGGAUACGGCAGAGCUCGAGCAAGCUAGGGGGCAAGUGGAAUUCCCGGUGUAGUGGUGGAAUGCGUAGAUAUCGGGAGGAACACCAGUGGCGAAGGCGAUCACCUGGGGAUGGUUCUGACGCUGAGGAGCGAAAGCUAGGGGAGCAAACGGG
rnacentral:rRNA from 1 species